rnacentral:rRNA from 1 species
AUUGAACGCUGGCGGCAGGCCUAACACAUGCAAGUCGAGCGGAUGAAGGGAGCUUGCUCCUGGAUUCAGCGGCGGACGGGUGAGUAAUGCCUAGGAAUCUGCCUGGUAGUGGGGGAUAACGUCCGGAAACGGGCGCUAAUACCGCAUACGUCCUGAGGGAGCAAGUGGGGGAUCUUCGGACCUCACGCUAUCAGAUGAGCCUAGGUCGGAUUAGCUAGUUGGUGGGGUAAAGGCCUACCAAGGCGACGAUCCGUAACUGGUCUGAGAGGAUGAUCAGUCACACUGGAACUGAGACACGGUCAAGACUCCUACGGGAGGCAGCAGUGGGGAAUAUUGGACAAUGGGCGAAAGCCUGAUCCAGCCAUGCCGCGUGUGUGAAGAAGGUCUUCGGAGUGUAAAGCACUUUAAGUUGGGAGGAAGGGCAGUAAGUUAAUACCUUGCUGUUUUGACGUUACCAACAGAAUAAGCACCGGCUAACUUCGUG